UGGGGAAUAUUGGGGCAAUGGGCGCAAGCCUGACCCAGCAACGCCGCGUGAAGGAAGAAGGCUUUCGGGUUGUAAACUUCUUUUGUCAGGGACGAAGCAAGUGACGGUACCUGACGAAUAAGCCACGGCUAACUACGUGCC
rnacentral:rRNA from 1 species